UGCAGUCGAACGCGAACGAGUUCUUCGGAACUUUAGUAGAGUGGCGCACGGGUGAGUAACGCGUAAGUAAUCUACCCUCGCAUCAGGGAUAACCCACCGAAAGGUGUGCUAAUACCGGAUACGUCUAUGUUAAUAUCUUUUUUAUAGAGAAAGGUGGCCUCUGAUUCAAGCUACUGUGCGGGGAGGAGCUUGCGUACCAUUAGCUAGUUGGUAGGGUAACGGCCUACCAAGGCGACGAUGGUUAGCGGGUCUGAGAGGAUGAUCCGCCACACUGGAACUGAAACACGGACCAGACUCCUACGGGAGGCAGCAGUGAGGAAUAUUGCGCAAUGGGGGCAACCCUGACGCAGCGACGCCGCGUGGAUGAUGAAGGCCUUCGGGUUGUAAAAUCCUGUCAGAUGGGAAGAAGUGCUAUAUGGUUAAUACCUGUAUAGUUUGACGGUACCAUCAAAGGAAGCACCGGCUAACUCCGUGCCAGCAGCCGCGGUAAUACGGAGGGUGCAAGCGUUGUUCGGAAUUACUGGGCGUAAAGCGCGCGUAGGCGGCUAUGUAAGUCAGAUGUGAAAGCCCGCGGCUCAACCGUGGAAGUGCAUUUGACACUGUAUAGCUUGAGUACUGGAGGGGGUAGUGGAAUUCCCGGUGUAGAGGUGAAAUUCGUAGAUAUCGGGAGGAAUACCGGUGGCGAAGGCGACUACCUGGCCAGAUACAGACGCUGAGGUGCGAAA
rnacentral:rRNA from 1 species